AAAUAAGUGUUGUUGUUUUUUUUAUCCUUUUUCAAUAGAAUUGGCCCAGACUUCUGCAGUGUCAAGUGAAGGAAGCUCCUCUCAUAAGAUUGCAAACUGUGAGUCUGAUGACACUGAGUGUGAGUGAUGGAAGCCCUUCAAGAAAGGAGCAGAAUGCUGAAGAUGAAGCCAGAAUUAAGUCAAGUUCCUGGCUUCUCCCAAGACAUUCAAGGACCCAAUUGACCUCGGAAUCAGCUGUAAAGGAGGAUGAAACCGAUUUCUAAGAAUGGGACAGCGAUAUUG